rnacentral:pre_miRNA from 1 species
GCUUAUGGAUGAGCAAAGAAAGUGGUUUCUUGACAUGGAAUCUACUACUAGUGAAGAUUCUGUGAA